rnacentral:rRNA from 1 species
UACGUAGGGAGCAAGCGUUGUUCGGAUUUACUGGGCGUAAAGGGCGCGUAGGCGGCGCCGCAAGUCGACUGUGAAAUCUCCGGGCUUAACCCGGAAAGGUCAGCCGAUACUGCGGGGCUAGAGUGCAGAAGGGGCAACUGGAAUUCUCGGUGUAGCGGUGAAAUGCGUAGAUAUCGAGAGGAACACCUGCGGCGAAGGCGGGUUGCUGGGCUGACACUGACGCUGAUGCGCGAAAGCUAGGGGAGCGAACGGG